UACGUAGGGGGCAAGCGUUGUCCGGAAUCAUUGGGCGUAAAGAGCGUGUAGGCGGCUCGGUAAGUCCGCUGUGAAAGUCCAGGGCUCAACCCCUGGAAUGCCGGUGGAAACUGUCGAGCUAGAGUCCGGAAGAGGCGAGUGGAAUCCUGGUGUAGCCGGUGAAAUGCGCAGAUAUCAGGAGGAACACCAAUGGCGAAGGCAGCUCCGCUGGGACGGUACUGACGCUGAGACGCGAAAGCGUGGGGAGCAAACAGG
rnacentral:rRNA from 1 species